GGUAGGAUAGAGGCCUACCAUGGUGGUAACGGGUAACGGGGUGUUAGGGCACGACACCGGAGAGGGAGCCUGAGAAACGGCUACCACAUCCAAGGAAGGCAGCAGGCGCGCAAAUUACCCAAUCCCGACACGGGGAGGUAGUGACAAUAAAUAACAAUACAGGGUUCUUUUGGAUCUUGUAAUUGGAAUGAGUACAAUUUAAAUCUCUUAACGAGGAACAAUUGGAGGGCAAGUCUGGUGCCAGCAGCCGCGGUAAUUCCAGCUCCAAUAGCGUAUAUUAAAGUUGUUGCAGUUAAAAAGCUCGUAGUUGAAUUUCGGGAUCAAUAUUUCGGUCAUGCCGUUGGUAUGCACUGUUAUCAUUGAUUUCUCACCUUCUAAAGAACCGUAAUGCCAUUAAUUUGGUGUUACGGGGAAUUAGGACUGUUACCUUGAAAAAAUUAGAGUGUUUAAAGCAGGCUCACGCUUGAAUACAUUAGCAUGGAAUAAUGAAAUAGGACAUCCGAUUCUAUUUUGUUGGUUUCUAGGAUCGAUGUAAUGAUUAAUAGGGAUAGUUGGGGGCAUUAGUAUUCAAUUGUCAGAGGUGAAAUUCUUGGAUUUAUUGAAGACUAACUACUGCGAAAGCAUUUGCCAAGGAUGUUUUCAUUAAUCAAGAACGAAAGUUAGGGGAUCGAAGACGAUCAGAUACCGUCGUAGUCUUAACCAUAAACUAUGCCGACUAGGGAUCGGAUGAUGUUAAUUUUUUAAUGACUCAUUCGGCGCCUUACGGGAAACCAAAGUGUUUGGGUUC
rnacentral:rRNA from 1 species